rnacentral:rRNA from 1 species
AAAGUUCCCUUCGGGGAGCAAGUAGAGUGGCGCACGGGUGAGUAACACGUAGGUAAUCUACCUUCGGAUGGGGAAUAACAACCGGAAACGGUUGCUAAUACCGCAUAAUGCAGCGGCACCUAAUGGUGACAGUUGUUAAAGCGGGGGAUCGCAAGACCUCGCGUCUGGAGAGGAGCCUGCGGCGGAUUAGCUUGUUGGUGAGGUAAUGGCUCACCAAGGCGAUGAUCCGUAGCCGGCCUGAGAGGGCGGUCGGCCACACUGACACUGACAUACGGGUCAGACUCCUACGGGAGGCAGCAGUCGGGAAUUUUGGGCAAUGGGCGAAAGCCUGACCCAGCAACGCCGCGUGAAGGAUGAAAUCCCUCGGGAUGUGAACUUCGCAAGAACGGGAAGAAUAAGCGAGAGUUAAUAUCUUUCGCGAUGACGGUACCGUUUGUAAGCUCCGGCUAACUCCGUGCCAGCAGCCGCGGUAAUACGGGGGGAGCAAGCGUUGUUCGGAUUUACUGGGCGUAAAGGGCGCGUAGGCGGCCACCGCAAGUCGAUUGUGAAAUCUCCGGGCUUAACCCGGAAAGGUCAACCGAUACUGCGGGGCUAGAGUGCGGAAGGGGCAACUGGAAUUCUUGGUGUAGCGGUGAAAUGCGUAGAUAUCAAGAGGAACACCUGCGGCGAAGGCGGGUUGCUGGGCCGACACUGACGCUGAUGCGCGAAAGCUAGGGGAGCGAACGGGAUUAGAUACCCCGGUAGUCCUAGCCUUAAACGAUGAAUGCUUGGUGUCUGGGGUUUUAUAGUCCCCGGGUGCCGUCGCUAACGCUUUAAGCAUUCCGCCUGGGGAGUACGGUCGCAAGACUGAAACUC